AGAGUUUGAUUCUGGCUCAGAACGAACGCUGGCAGCGUGGAUUAGGCAUGCAAGUCGAACGAGAAGCCAUAGCUUCAAUCCUUCGGGAAAGUAAUUGUGGUAGAGAGUGGCGAAAGGGUGAGGAACACGUGGGCAAUCUGCCCCUAAGAUUGGGAUAACCUUGCGAAAGCGGGGCUAAUACCGGAUGUGGUUCUUCGAGGCAUCUCGAGGCAACUAAAGGCGGGGAUCCUUCGGGACCUGCCACUUGGGGAGGAGCCCGCGUCCCAUCAGCUUGUUGGUAAGGUAACGGCUUACCAAGGCUUACGGGUAGCUGGUCUGAGAGGAUGGUCAGCCACACUGGGACUGAGACACUGCCCAGACUCCUACGGGAGGCUGCAGUCGAGGAUCAUUCGCAAUGCGCGAAAGCGUGACGAUGCGACGCUGCGUGGGGGAUGAAGGCCUUCGGGUCGUAAACUCCUGUCAUGAGGGAAAAGUUGUCUCCUCUUUAAUAGAGAGGAGAUUCGAUGGUACCUCAAGAGGAAGCCACGGCUAACUCUGUGCCAGCAGCCGCGGUAAUACAGAGGUGGCAAGCGUUGUUCGGAUUUACUGGGCGUAAAGGGUGCGUAGGUGGCUGUGUAUGUCGGGCGUGAAAGCCCACCGCUCAACGGUGGAACUGCGUUCGAAACUGCACAGCUAGAGUACAGGAGGGGAGAGCGGAAUUCUUGGUGUAGCGGUGAAAUGCGUUGAUAUCAAGAAGAACACCGGUGGCGAAGGCGGCUCUCUGGAAUGAUACUGACACUGAUGCACGAAAGCUGGGGGAGCAAACAGGAUUAGAUACCCUGGUAGUCCCAGCCGUAAACGGUGUGAACUUGGUGUGGGGGGUGUUAACCCUUCCCGUGCCGGAGCUAACGCGUUAAGUUCACCGCCUGGGGAGUACGGCCGCAAGGCUAAAACUCAAAGAAAUUGACGGGGGCCCGCACAAGCGGAGGAGCAUGUGGCUUAAUUCGAUGCAACGCGAAGAACCUUACCAGGGCUUGACAUGGCGACCCUUCGGGGGUGGGAGCGAAAGUUCCCUUUACGAUCACAGGUGCUGCAUGGCUGUCGUCAGUUCGUGCCGUGAGGUGUUGGGUUAAGUCCCGCAGCGAACGCAACCCUUGUGGUUAGUUGCCACCGUAGGUGAUGAGCCUACGAGCACUCUAGCCAGACUGCCCGUACAAGCGGGAGGAAGGUGGGGACGACGUCAAGUCAGUACGGCCCUUACGCCCUGGGCUGCACACGUGCUACAAUGGGAGGUACAGAAGGAUGCAAUACCGCGAGGUGGAGCAAAUCCUCAAAGCCUUCCUCAGUUCGGAUUGGAGUCUGCAACUCGACUCCAUGAAGUCGGAUUCGCUAGUAACGGCGUAUCAGCUACGACGCCGUGAAUACGUUCCCGGGCCUUGUACACACCGCCCGUCACAUCAUGAAAGCUGUCUGCACCAGAAGUCGUUGAGCCAAUCUUGUUUACAGGAAGGCAGGCGCCGAAGGUGUGGGUGGUGACUGGGAUGAAGUCGAAACAAGGUA
rnacentral:rRNA from 1 species